rnacentral:rRNA from 1 species
AUUGAACGCUGGCGGCAGGCCUAACACAUGCAAGUCGAGCGGAUGAAGGGAGCUUUCUCCUGGAUUCAGCGGCGGACGGGUGAGUAAUGCCUAGGAAUCUGCCUGGUAGUGGGUGAUAACGUCCGGAAACGGGCGCUAAUACCGCAUACGUCCUGAGGGAGAAAGUGGGGGAUCUUCGGACAUCACGCUAUCAGAUGAGCCUAGGUCGGAUUAGCUAGUUGGUGGGGUAAAGGCCUACCAAGGCGACGAUCCGUAACUGGUCUGAGAGGAUGAUCAGUCACACUGGAACUGAGACACGGUCCAGACUCCUACGGGAGGCAGCAGUGGGGAAUAUUGGACAAUGGGCGAAAGCCUGAUCCAGCCAUGCCGCGUGUGUGAAGAAGGUCUUCGGAUUGUAAAGCACUUUAAGUUGGGAGGAAGGGCAGUAAGUUAAUACCUUGCUGUUUUGACGUUACCAACAGAAUAAGCACCGGCUAACUUCGUG